UACGGAGGGGGCUAGCGUUGUUCGGAAUCACUGGGCGUAAAGCGCACGUAGGCGGAUUGUUAAGUCAGGGGUGAAAUCCUGGAGCUCAACUCCAGAACUGCCUUCGAUACUGAGAGUCUCGAGUCCGGGAUAGGUGAGUGGAACUGCGAGUGUAGAGGUGAAAUUCGUAGAUAUUCGCAAGAACACCAGUGGCGAAGGCGGCUCACUGGCCCGGUACUGACGCUGAGGUGCGAAAGCGUGGGGAGCAAACAGG
rnacentral:rRNA from 1 species